UCUCAAGAAAUCAGGUGUCCUCAAUAUUCCAAAUAGCUCUGAUACUACUGAAAUGUCGAGAAUCACACAAAUAUUAACCAAGAUUCAUAAACCAAUCAUCAAGAACAGUAAGUAAAAGUGUAGAAAACAUAAAAAAAUCAACAUAAGAUUUUUCAGUCGUAGCCCCAGAGAUUCGGCGACCACUUCUAACGCCUGAUUCCCUAUUGAGAAUCCAUUAUAAAUGAAUUUAGCUAGGUAACACUAAAAUAGCCAAAAAUCGACAACAAGAAUACACAACCGUUCCAAAAAAAUACAAGAACAAAGUCACAAAGACUUGUCUCAAUAAUAUCCACGAAGGAAUCAACUUAGACCACUAAGAUCUCCAGAAAAUCCGAACUACUCUCACAAGAAUCACUCAAAUUCUCACAAACCAACAUAUAGUAGUACACUACUACAAAUAUUUAUAGUAUUACAAAGGGUUUUCACUAGUUAUAUGUUGAAACAUUGGAGAAAAUCAAACCCUAAUCACAAAGAUGGAGUUCUUCACAGAGAGAGGGACCACGAAGAGACAGAUUCAAAACCAAGAAAAAAUCUCUCCAUUCUGCCAGACCAAAGGUUACUGGAAGCAUCUAG
rnacentral:lncRNA from 1 species